CUACGUGCCAGCAGCCGCGGUAAUACGUAGGGUGCGAGCGUUAAUCGGAAUUACUGGGCGUAAAGCGAGCGCAGACGGUUACUUAAGCAGGAUGUGAAAUCCCCGGGCUCAACCUGGGAACUGCGUUCUGAACUGGGUGACUAGGGUGUGUCAGAGGGAGGUAGAAUUCCACGUGUAGCAGUGAAAUGCGUAGAGAUGUGGAGGAAUACCGAUGGCGAAGGCAGCCUCCUGGGAUAACACUGACGUUCAUGCUCGAAAGCGUGGGUAGCAAACAGGAUUAGAUACCCUGGUAGUCCACGCCCUAAACGAUGUCAAUUAGCUGUUGGGCAACUUGAUUGCUUAGUAGCGUAGCUAACGCGUGAAAUUGACCGCCUGGGGAGUACGGUCGCAAGAUUAAAACUCAAAGGAAUUGACGGGGACCCGCACAAGCGGUGGAUGAUGUGGAUUAAUUCGAUGCAACGCGAAGAACCUUACCUGGUCUUGACAU
rnacentral:rRNA from 1 species